GAAGGACGUGCUAAUCUGCGAUAAGCGUCGGUAAGGUGAUAUGAACCGUUAUAACCGGCGAUUUCCGAAUGGGGAAACCCAGUGUGAUUCGUCACACUAUCAUUAACUGAAUCCAUAGGUUAAUGAGGCGAACCGGGGGAACUGAAACAUCUAAGUACCCCGAGGAAAAGAAAUCAACCGAGAUUCCCCCAGUAGCGGCGAGCGAACGGGGAGCAGCCCAGAGCCUGAAUCAGUGUGUGUGUUAGUGGAAGCGUCUGGAAAGGCGCGCGAUACAGGGUGACAGCCCCGUACACAAAAAUGCACAUACUGUGAGCUCGAUGAGUAGGGCGGGACACGUGGUAUCCUGUCUGAAUAUGGGGGGACCAUCCUCCAAGGCUAAAUACUCCUGACUGACCGAUAGUGAACCAGUACCGUGAGGGAAAGGCGAAAAGAACCCCGGCGAGGGGAGUGAAAAAGAACCUGAAACCGUGUACGUACAAGCAGUGGGAGCCUCUUUAUGGGGUGACUGCGUACCUUUUGUAUAAUGGGUCAGCGACUUAUAUUCUGUAGCAAGGUUAACCGAAUAGGGGAGCCGAAGGGAAACCGAGUCUUAACUGGGCGUUAAGUUGCAGGGUAUAGACCCGAAACCCGGUGAUCUAGCCAUGGGCAGGUUGAAGGUUGGGUAACACUAACUGGAGGACCGAACCGACUAAUGUUGAAAAAUUAGCGGAUGACUUGU
rnacentral:rRNA from 1 species